UGGGGAAUCUUAGACAAUGGGGGCAACCCUGAUCUAGCCAUGCCGCGUGAGUGAUGAAGGCCUUAGGGUCGUAAAGCUCUUUCGCUGGGGAUGAUAAUGACAGUACCCAGUAAAGAAACCCCGGCUAACUCCGUGCCAGCAGCCGCGGUAAUACGGAGGGGGUUAGCGUUGUUCGGAAUUACUGGGCGUAAAGCGCACGUAGGCGGACUGGAAAGUUAGAGGUGAAAUCCCGGGGCUCAACCCCGGAACUGCCUUUAAAACUAUCAGUCUAGAGUUCGAGAGAGGUGAGUGGAAUUCCGAGUGUAGAGGUGAAAUUCGUAGAUAUUCGGAGGAACACCAGUGGCGAAGGCGGCUCACUGGCUCGAUACUGACGCUGAGGUGCGAAAGUGUGGGGAGCAAACAGG
rnacentral:rRNA from 1 species